CACGUAGGGGACGAGCGUUGUCCGGAUUCAUUGGGCGUAAAGCGCGCGUAGGCGGCUCGGAAAGUCGGUCGUGAAAUGCCGGGGCUCAACCCCGGGACUGCGUCCGAUACUUCCGGGCUGGAGGUAGGUAGGGGAGAUCGGAAUUCCUGGUGUAGCGGUGAAAUGCGCAGAUAUCAGGAGGAACACCGGUGGCGAAGGCGGAUCUCUGGACAGUUCCUGACACUGAGGCACGAAGGCCAGGGGAGCAAACGGG
rnacentral:rRNA from 1 species